rnacentral:rRNA from 1 species
UACGUAGGGUGCGAGCGUUAAUCGGAAUUACUGGGCGUAAAGCGUGCGCAGGCGGUUUUGCAAGCCAGGUGUGAAAUCCCCGGGCUCAACCUGGGAAUGGCAUUUGGGACUGCAAGGCUGGAGUGCGGCAGAGGAGACUGGAAUUCCUGGUGUAGCAGUGAAAUGCGUAGAUAUCAGGAGGAAUACCGAUGGCGAAGGCAGGUCUCUGGGCUGACACUGACGCUCAUGCACGAAAGCGUGGGGAGCAAACAGG